rnacentral:rRNA from 1 species
UGGACGAAAGUCUGACGGAGCAACGCCGCGUGAGUGAAGAAGGUUUUCGGAUCGUAAAACUCUGUUUUCAGGGACGAAUGUGCUAUUUGUGAAUAAUGAGUAGUAAUGACGGUACCUGACAAGAAAGCCACGGCUAACUACGUGCCAGCAGCCGCGGUAAUACGUAGGUGGCAAGCGUUGUCCGGAAUUAUUGGGCGUAAAGCGCGCGCAGGUGGGAUAAUAAGUCUGAUGUUAAAGUUCGGGGCUCAACCCCGUGAAGCAUUUGGAUACUGUUAUUCUUGAGUGCAGGAGAGGAAAGUGGAAUUCCUAGUGUAGCGGUGAAAUGCGUAGAUAUUAGGAGGAACACCAGUGGCGAAGGCGACUUUCUGGACUGUGUCUGACACUGAGGCGCGAAAGCCAGGGUAGUGAACGGGAUUAGAUACCCCGGUAAUCCUGGCCGUAAACGAUGGGUACUAGGUGUUGGGGGUAUCGACCCCUCCAGUGCCGGAGUUAACGCAAUAAGUACCCCGCCUGGGGAGUACG